rnacentral:rRNA from 1 species
UACGUAGGGUGCGAGCGUUAAUCGGAAUUACUGGGCGUAAAGCGUGCGCAGGCGGUACGUUAAGACAGGUGUGAAAUCCCCGGGCUUAACCUGGGAAUUGCGCUUGUGACUGGCGUGCUCGAGUGCGGCAGAGGGGGGUGGAAUUCCAGGUGUAGCAGUGAAAUGCGUAGAUAUCUGGAGGAACUCCGAUGGCGAAGGCAGCCCCCUGGGCCGACACUGACGCUCAGGCACGAAAGCGUGGGGAGCAAACAGG